UUUUGAAGAUCCAGAAAUAGGAGAAGAAAGAGCUAGUUAUGCGUAUAGGUUAACUAUGGUUCUUCACUUCUUUGUGUUUGUGAAGACCCUUAAUAUGUACAGGGUGGCAUCAAAGGGGUCUACCAAGAAAUAUAGUGUAGUAGUUCAUCAUGGUCACAAUGUUGAAGACAAGAUAUUAUAAUUGGGGAGAAGAAGGUAGCAUCCAAGCGGAACCUAAUAAAGAGAAGUCUUGCACUGCAUCAAAGAGUUAUGAUGUCCCUGGAUAUACCUGAUCCCUCUCUCCAAAUGUUUGUGACAAAUCUUACUUAUCCGCUUCUG